UGUCUUAGAGGAGCUCUAGAUUCUUUUCUCAUCGUCUCACUGUCCAUAUGGCGGUUAAACAAUGUUUUUCUGCAGGAUUCAGGAGGUAGAGCUAGCUAGUCAUGAACUCAUCAUAGCUCAUGGUGAGAUGCAUGGCUAGAGGUGAGCAGGUUUGACUUGAACUAGAACAUCGUGAUCAAAUUGCUAAUUCAGGAGAUGUACAAUUACGAUCUGUACUGUUCGUCAUGCAAGAUAUAUGUGGUGUGAAAGCGACGGCAGAGAAAGAAGCAUCUUGUAUAUCAAUCAGCCAUAAGGCUGUGAAAGUACGCACCGACCUUGCCCGGGCGAUAACAAGCUUCCCUCUGCCUGCUUCUCUCUCCUAUCUUAAUCGUGCAUAUAAGUCUAUGAACUCUCUCUCUCUCUCUUAACAAGCUUCCCUCUGCCUGCUUCUCUCUCCUAUCUUAAUCGUGCAUAUAAGUCUAUGAACUCUCUCUCUCUCUCUCUCUCUCUCUCUCUCUCUCUCUCUCUCUCUCUCUCUCUCUCCACCACACACAAACAAAUAAACACACUACUCCUGAAUCCACAUGAACACUCAAGCUUGCUCUCGUCGAUCUCUCUCACAUAUGGCAGUUGAGGGGAAUGUUGUCUGGUCGGAGAUCUAACACCGCGGAUCCAUGGAGCAUCGCAGCAUGGUGGAUGGUUUCGGACCAGGCUUCAUUCCCCCCAACUCAACUCUUCUCCCUUCUCCGAAUCACCGAGGACGACGAUGAUCUUUUGUCAAGGACGACUCAACUCCCUACCAAGUACCAACAGAUCCCAUGGUCUGAACACUCCAACAUGCACCACCACAAUUCCUCAGUAUCAUGGAACACAAGAAAUUCACAACUUACAUCAAGAAAGCAAGCCUUCAUCUGCUGCAAACAACUCUCAAGUACUUCUGAUUUACUCUUUGUACCUAUGCUUACUGAUUUCAUAUCAGCUUCCAUCAUUGAUCUUAAAUAAGGCUUCCAAAGCUCAUACCUAAAACAAAGUGUUUCAGCCAGCAUUAAGCAACCAUAUGUCAUCGUAUCAGAAUCAGAUUCAAUAAGUGCAGCGAUUCUAGAAUCAACUCACCCCAUUUCAUCAUAACCCAUCACCAAUGCCUCACCCUGCAUUUUGCCCAUGAAUCAGAGGUUUGUUUCAUUAGAGAAACGGAGGUAUGUUUCAAGAAGAUAAACGCACUCAAAAGUUGGCCACAUUACUCAUUAUCAAGGUAACUGAAAGAAUUAAACUAUAAUAAAUCGUAGAAAAGCUAAUCUCGUUGUCAACCAGGCCCAAAGCCCACUGUUAGUUUCAAAUUUGAUACUAAAUUUGCUUAUCAGGAAUGAGAGAUAUCUGAAGUCUGAAGCUAAAUAAACAAGAAAAGGAAAAAGGCAGAAGAAAUGUCAUUGAUGAUUAGCAUGAACUGGAUUAGAACAUCCAAGUGCAGCAUGAAAAGUAUGCAUCUCUUACAUAAGCGAAAUGUAAAAGUUUGCUUUCAGACAUCAAAUAACAAUAACCCCAUGAUGGUAAGAGUACUUUCCACACAAAAUCAGUGGAUUUAACAAAGCAACACCUGCAUCUAGAUAUAUGGACAAUAUGCAGAGUAUUCUAGUCAAAUCAGAAUUUAGAUGAGUAUUUGUUCUUUUUAAGAAACAAACAAGUGGAAACAUAUAAUUGAAAGAAAAACAAGAUCAGAUAGGAUAGUUACAUGACAUCUGCAUGCAAAUGUAUAAUAGGCUAUCAAAGGGGAUACAUACAAGAUUCGUUGGGGAGAAACGUGUGUUUUCAUCUUUGGUUGCAUAACAACGGUCAAGCAACUUCUUUAUGUGAUCAUGCAUGGUUGCAUCAGUACCAAUUCCUGCCUGGAAAUAGAAUCGAAAAGGGUCAAAUUUGCAUGAUUUAAAAUUCUAGAUAGGUAGAUUCAGUAAGUGGCACAAUCCAGCAAUUCUGGAUUUGUAGUUAUUGCCUCAGAAAAAGAAUAUAUCAUAGGUUGAAAGAAGGAAUUUUUUUUGUACUUUAUCCAUGCAGCUAAGAAGGUCAGCUUCAGCAAGAAGAGGGGGCGGCCGAGUCACUCCAGAAUCAAGUGUUAAAGUUGUCGGAACAAACUGCAUGAUUUUAAGUUGAUAGUUCACGUCAGUUUUGUAUUUGAUUAAUAGGAUUCGAAUGUUGGAGAGCAUCGCCAUUCUCUAAAUCAAAUCAAUCAACUAGUUGUGAUCAACAAAUAUUGAGCGACUCCAUAAAUAUUGCAAUGAAA